AAGACCUUGCGCUUUUGGAGCGGCCGAUGUCUGAUUAGCUAGUUGGUGGGGUAAUGGCCUACCAAAGCUUCGAUCAGUAGCUGGUCUGAGAGGACGACCAGCCACACUGGGACUGAGACACGGCCCAGACUCCUACGGGAGGCAGCAGUGGGGAAUUUUGGACAAUGGGCGCAAGCCUGAUCCAGCCAUGCCGCGUGAGUGAAGAAGGCCUUCGGGUUGUAAAGCUCUUUCAGCCGGGAAGAAAAGGCUGCGACUAAUAAUCGUAGCUCAUGACGGUACCGGAAGAAGAAGCACCGGCUAACUACGUGCCAGCAGCCGCGGUAAUACGUAGGGUGCGAGCGUUAAUCGGAAUUACUGGGCGUAAAGGGUGCGCAGGCGGUUUUGUAAGUCAGAUGUGAAAUCCCCGGGCUUAACCUGGGGAACU
rnacentral:rRNA from 1 species